GUUGGGAUGCUUAAACCUUUGACAUAUUCUGUAAGUUGACAAAUGAAUAUACUAAAGACCUUUUUGGGGUGUUAACAUUUACGGUUGACUGGCAUAUUUUAUGUAGAAUGUACAACCUGUUUCAUUUUAAAAAAAUGAUGAUUCUAAAAAAUAACGAAAAUUAAGCAUAUGCUCUUUUAACUGUUCUUGAACAGGGCUCCAAUUUAAA
rnacentral:lncRNA from 1 species